rnacentral:lncRNA from 1 species
UGAGAGCCUAUGGGAGCCGUGGGAAGUGUCACGUUACCGCAGAGAUCCUUUGUUUUGGAAAGAGAUGUCAAAGAAAGCCAAUAAAUAGUCAGACAGGCCACUUCCUGUAAAGGAAUCUCUCAGGUUUUUGCCUGCCAUAUGAGUUCUGUUAUACUCACAGACACCAUUCAAACAGUUUUAGAAACUUUAGUGUGUUUUCUAUCCAUAUCUAAUAAGUAUAUGCAUAUUCUAGUUACUGGGUAGGAGUAGUAACCAGAUUAAAUCGGGUACGUUUUUUAUCCGGCGGUGUAAAUACUGCCCCCUAGCCCUAAGAGGAUAACAUAAAUCUUCAGGGCGUUUUUCAACAAGAGAGCCAAUAAGAUUCGAGGGGGACGAUUGCAGUGUGUUUCAAAACGUUUCGAAAGGGGAGGGUAACCAGGGACGCCGGCAUUCCCCAUGCGGGGGGGCUGGCAGCACUAGCUCACUAUUUGGGAGACAGAGAUACUAAUGAAUAUCCACCAACAAACUUUAUUUUAGAGCUGGCAGAAUAUGUUUUGAAGUAUAACUAUUUUAGGUUUGAUGAUGAAUACUACCUCCAAACGAAUGGAACGUCGAUGGGCUCCACAUUCGAUCCGAGUUAUGCUAACCUUUAUGUGGGUCUAUUUGAAGAACGUUUUGUCAAUAACAAAAAACGAAAAUCCAUUUUUGAAUAAAAUCCUGAAGUGGUAUCGAUAUAUUGACAAAAAUUUUUGCAUAUGGGAAGGAACUGAACAAGAGCUGUCAGAUAGGGUAGGAAACAGACAGUGGGUUAGGGUAGGAAACAGACAGACAGUGAAUUAGGGUAUGAAACAGACAGACAUUUAGUUAGGGUAUGAAACAGACAGACAGUGAGUUAGGGUAGGAAACAGACAGACAGUGGGUUAGGGUAUGAUACAGACAGACAGUGAGUUAGGGUAUGAUACAGACAGACAGCGGGUUAGGGUAUGAAACAGACAGACAGUGGGUUAGGGUAUGAAACAGACAGACAGUGAGUUAGGGUAGGAAACAGACAGACAGUGGGUUAGGGUAUGAUACAGACAGACAGUGAGUUAGGGUAUGAAACAGACAGACAGUGAGUUAGGGUAGGACAGACAGUGGGUUACGGUAGGAAACAGACAGACAGUGGGUUAGGGUAGGAAACAGACAUUGGGUUAGGGUAGGAAACAGACAGACAGUGGGUUAGGGUAUGAAACAGACAGACAGUGAGUUAGGGUAGGAAACAGACAGUGGGUUAGGGUAGGAAACAGACAGACAGUGGGUUAGGGUAGGAAACAGACAGACAGUGUGUUAGGGUAGGAAACAGACAGUGUGUUAGGGUAGGAGACAGACAGACAGUGGGUUAGGGUAUGAAACAGACAGACAGUGGGUUAGGGUAAGAAAUAGACAGACAGUGGUUUAGGGUAUGAAACAGACAGACAGUGGGUUAGGGUAGGAAACAGACAGUGGGUUAGGGUAGGAAACAGACAGACAGUGGGUUAGGGUAGGAAACAGACAGUGGGUUAGGGUAUGAAACAGACAGACAGUGGGUUAGGGUAGGACACAGACAGUGAGUUAGGGUAUGAAAUAGACAGACAGUGGGUUAGGGUAGGAAAUAGACAGUGGGAUAGGGUAGGAAACAGACAGUGGGUUAGGGUAGGAAACAGACAGACAGUGGGUUAGGGUAUGAAACAGACAGACAGUGGGUUAGGGUAGGAAAUAGACAGUGGGUUAGGGUAGUACACAGACAGACUGAGGGUUAGGGUAGAAGGCAGACAGUGGGUCAGGGUAUGAAACAGACAGACAGUGGGUUAGGUAAGGAAACAGACAGACAGUGGUUUGGGUAUGAAACAGACAGACAGUGGGUUAGGGUAGGAAACAGACAGACAGUGGGUUAGGGUAUGAAACAGACAGACAGUGGGAUAGGGUAGGACGCAGACAGUGUGUUAGGGUAUGAAACAGACAGACAGUGGGUUAGGUAAGGAAACAGACAGACAGUGGUUUGGGUAUGAAACAGACAGACAGUGUGUUAGGGUAGGAAACAGACAGACAGUGGGUUAGGGUAGGAAACAGACAGUGGGUUAGGGUAUGAAACAGACAGACAGUGGGAUAGGGUAGGACGCAGACAGUGUGUUAGGGUAUGCAAUAGACAGACAGUGGGUUAGGGUAUGAAACAGACAGACAGUGGGUUAGGGUAGGAAAUAGACAGUGGGAUAGGGUAGGAAAGAGACAGUGGGUUAGGGUAGGAAACAGACAGACAGUGGGUUAGGGUAUGAAACAGACAGACAGUGGGUCAGGGUAGGAAAUAGACAGUGGGUUAGGGUAAGACACAGACAGACAGUGGGUCAGGGUAGGAAACAGACAGUGGGUUAGGGUAGGAAACAGACAGACAGUGGGUUAGGGUAGGAAACAGACAGUGUGUUAGGGUAUGAAACAGACAGACAGUGGGUUAGGGUAGGACACAGACAGUGGGUUAGGGUAGGAUAUAGACAGUGGGAUAGGGUAGGAAACAGACAGUGGGUUAGGGUAGGAAACAGACAGACAGUGGGUUAGGGUAUGAAACAGACAGACAGUGGGUUAGGGUAGGAAAUAGACAGUGGGUUAGGGUAGGACACAGACAGACUGUGGGUUAGGGUAGAAGACAGACAGUGGGUCAGGGUAUGAAACAGACAGACAGUGGGUUAGGGUAGGAAAUAGACAGUGGGAUAGGGUAGGAAACAGACAGUGGGUUAGGGUAGGAAACAGACAGACAGUGGGUUAGGGUAUGAAACAGACAGACAGUGUGUUAGGGUAGGAAAUAGACAGUGGGUUAGGGUAGGACACAGACAGACUGUGGGUUAGGGUAGAAGACAGACAGUGGGUCAGGGUAUGAAACAGACAGACAGUGGGUUAGGGUAAGACACAGACAGACUGUGGGUUAGGGUAGGAAACAGACAGUGGGUCAGGUUAUGAAACAGACAGACAGUGAGUUAGGGUAGGACAAACAGUGGGUUAGGGUAGGAAACAGACAGACAGUGGGUUAGGGUAGGAAACAGACAGACAGUGUGUCAGGGUAGGAGACAGACAGUGGGUUAGGGUAUGAAACAGACAGACAGUGAAUUAGGGUAUGAAACAGACAGACAUUGAGUUAGGGUAUGAAACAGACAGACAGUGAGUUAGGGUAGGAAACAGACAGACAGUGUGUUAGGGUAUGAUACAGACAGACAGUGAGUUAGGGUAUGAUACAGACAGACAGCGGGUUAGGGUAUGAAACAGACAGACAGUGGGUUAGGGUAUGAAACAGACAGACAGUGAGUUAGGGUAGGAAACAGACAGACAGUGGGUUAGGGUAUGAUACAGACAGACAGUGAGUUAGGGUAUGAUACAGACAGACAGUGGGUUAGGGUAUGAAACAGACAGACAGUGAGUUAGGGUAGGACAGACAGUGGGUUAGGGUAGGAAACAGACAGACAGUGGGUUAGGGUAGGAAACAGACAGUGUGUUAGGGUAGGAAACAGACAGACAGUGGGUUAGGGUAUGAAACAGACAGACAGUGAGUUAGGGUAGGAAACAGACAGUGGGUUAGGGUAGGAAACAGACAGACAGUGGGUUAGGGUAGGAAACAGACAGACAGUGUGUUAGGGUAGGAAACAGACAGUGUGUUAGGGUAGGAGACAGACAGACAGUGGGUUAGGGUAUAAAACAGACAGACAGUGGGUUAGGGUAAGAAAUAGACAGACAGUGGUUUAGGGUAUGAAACAGACAGACAGUGGGUUAGGGUAGGAAACAGACAGUGGGUUAGGGUAGGAAACAGACAGACAGUGGGUUAGGGUAGGAAACAGACAGUGGGUUAGGGUAGGAAACAGACAGACAGUGGGUUAGGGUAGGACACAGACAGUGAGUUAGGGUAUGAAAUAGACAGACAGUGGGUUAGGGUAUGAAACAGACAGACAGUGGGUUAGGGUAGGAAAUAGACAGUGGGAUAGGGUAGGAAACAGACAGUGGGUUAGGGUAGGAAACAGACAGACAGUGGGUUAGGGUAUGAAACAGACAGACAGUGGGUUAGGGUAGUACACAGACAGACUGUGGGUUAGGGUAGAAGACAGACAGUGGGUCAGGGUAUGAAACAGACAGACAGUGGGUUAGGUAAGGAAACAGACAGACAGUGGUUUGGGUAUGAAACAGACAGACAGUGGGUUAGGGUAGGAAACAGACAGACAGUGGGUUAGGGUAGGAAACAGACAGUGGGUUAGGGUAUGAAACAGACAGACAGUGGGAUAGGGUAGGACGCAGACAGUGUGUUAGGGUAUGAAACAGACAGACAGUGGAUUAGGUAAGGAAACAGACAGACAGUGGUUUGGGUAUGAAACAGACAGACAGUGCGUUAGGGUAGGAAACAGACAGACAGUGGGUUAGGGUAGGAAACAGACAGUGGGUUAGGGUAUGAAACAGACAGACAGUGGGAUAGGGUAGGACGCAGACAGUGUGUUAGGGUAUGCAAUAGACAGACAGUGGGUUAGGGUAUGAAACAGACAGACAGUGGGUUAGGGUAGGAAACAGACAGUGGGAUAGGGUAGGAAAGAGACAGUGGGUUAGGGUAGGAAACAGACAGACAGUGGGUUAGGGUAUGAAACAGACAGACAGUGGGUUAGGGUAGGAAAUAGACAGUGGGUUAGGGUAAGACACAGACAGACAGUGGGUUAGGGUAGGAAACAGACAGUGGGUUAGGGUAGGAAACAGACAGACAGUGGGUUAGGGUAGGAAACAGACAGUGGGUUAGGGUAUGAAACAGACAGACAGUGGGUUAGGGUAGGAAAUAGACAGUGGGAUAGGGUAGGAAACAGACAGUGGGUUAGGGUAGGAAACAGACAGACAGUGGGUUAGGGUAUGAAACAGACAGACAGUGGGUUAGGGUAGGAAAUAGACAGUGGGUUAGGGUAGGACACAGACAGACUGUGGGUUAGGGUAGAAGACAGACAGUGGGUCAGGGUAUGAAACAGACAGACAGUGGGUUAGGUAAGGAAACAGACAGACAGUGGUUUGGGUAUGAAACAGACAGACAGUGGGUUAGGGUAGGAAACAGACAGACAGUGGGUUAGGGUAGGAAACAGACAGUGGGUUAGGGUAUGAAACAGACAGACAGUGGGAUAGGGUAGGACACAGACAGUGUGUUAGGGUAUGCAAUAGACAGACAGUGGGUUAGGGUAUGAAACAGACAGACAGUGGGUUAGGGUAGGAAAUAGACAGUGGGAUAGGGUAGGAAAGAGACAGUGGGUUAGGGUAGGAAACAGACAGACAGUGGGUUAGGGUAUGAAACAGACAGACAGUGGGUUAGGGUAGGAAAUAGACAGUGGGUUAGGGUAAGACACAGACAGACAGUGGGUUAGGGUAGGAACAGACAGACAGUGGGUUAGGGUAGGAAACAGACAGUGUGUUAGGGUAGGAAACAGACAGACAGUGGGUUAGGGUAUGAAACAGACAGACAGUGAGUUAGGGUAGGAAACAGACAGUGGGUUAGGGUAGGAAACAGACAGACAGUGGGUUAGGGUAGGAAACAGACAGACAGUGUGUUAGGGUAGGAAACAGACAGUGGGUUAGGGUAGGAAACAGACAGACAGUGGGUUAGGGUAUGAAACAGACAGACAGUGGGUUAGGGUAAGAAAUAGACAGACAGUGGGUUAGGGUAUGAAACAGACAGACAGUGGGUUAGGGUAGGAAACAGACAGUGGGUUAGGGUAGGAAACAGACAGACAGUGGGUUAGGGUAGGAAACAGACAGUGGGUUAGGGUAGGAAACAGACAGACAGUGGGUUAGGGUAGGACACAGACAGUGAGUUAGGGUAUGAAAUAGACAGACAGUGGGUUAGGGUAUGAAACAGACAGACAGUGGGUUAGGGUAGGAAAUAGACAGUGGGAUAGGGUAGGAAACAGACAGUGGGUUAGGGUAGGAAACAGACAGACAGUGGGUUAGGGUAUGAAACAGACAGACAGUGGGUUAGGGUAAGACACAGACAGACUGUGGGUUAGGGUAGGAAACAGACAGUGGGUCAGGGUAUGAAACAGACAGACAGUGGGUUAGGUAAGGAAACAGACAGACAGUGGUUUGGGUAUGAAACAGACAGACAGUGGGUUAGGGUAGGAAACAGACAGACAGUGGGUUAGGGUAGGAAACAGACAGUGGGUUAGGGUAUGAAACAGACAGACAGUGGGAUAGGGUAGGACGCAGACAGUGUGUUAGGGUAUGAAACAGACAGACAGUGGAUUAGGUAAGGAAACAGACAGACAGUGGUUUGGGUAUGAAACAGACAGACAGUGCGUUAGGGUAGGAAACAGACAGACAGUGGGUUAGGGUAGGAAACAGACAGUGGGUUAGGGUAUGAAACAGACAGACAGUGGGAUAGGGUAGGACGCAGACAGUGUGUUAGGGUAUGCAAUAGACAGACAGUGGGUUAGGGUAUGAAACAGACAGACAGUGGGUUAGGGUAGGAAAUAGACAGUGGGAUAGGGUAGGAAAGAGACAGUGGGUUAGGGUAGGAAACAGACAGACAGUGGGUUAGGGUAUGAAACAGACAGACAGUGGGUUAGGGUAGGAAACAGACAGUGGGUUAGGGUAAGACACAGACAGACAGUGGGUUAGGGUAGGAAACAGACAGUGGGUUAGGGUAGGAAACAGACAGACAGUGGGUUAGGGUAGGAAACAGACAGUGGGUUAGGGUAUGAAACAGACAGACAGUGGGUUAGGGUAGGAAACAGACAGUGGGAUAGGGUAGGAAACAGACAGUGGGUUAGGGUAGGAAACAGACAGACAGUGGGUUAGGGUAUGAAACAGACAGACAGUGGGUUAGGGUAGGAAAUAGACAGUGGGUUAGGGUAGGACACAGACAGACUGUGGGUUAGGGUAGAAGACAGACAGUGGGUCAGGGUAUGAAACAGACAGACAGUGGGUUAGGUAAGGAAACAGACAGACAGUGGUUUGGGUAUGAAACAGACAGACAGUGGGUUAGGGUAGGAAACAGACAGACAGUGGGUUAGGGUAGGAAACAGACAGUGGGUUAGGGUAUGAAACAGACAGACAGUGGGAUAGGGUAGGACACAGACAGUGUGUUAGGGUAUGCAAUAGACAGACAGUGGGUUAGGGUAUGAAACAGACAGACAGUGGGUUAGGGUAGGAAAUAGACAGUGGGAUAGGUAGGAAAGAGACAGUGUGUUAGGGUAGGAAACAGACAGACAGUGGGUUAGGGUAUGAAACAGACAGACAGUGGGUUAGGGUAGGAAAUAGACAGUGGGUUAGGGUAAGACACAGACAGACAGUGGGUUAGGGUAGGAAACAGACAGUGGGUUAGGGUAGGAAACAGACAGACAGUGGGUUAGGGUAGGAAACAGACACUGGGUUAGGGUAUGAAACAGACAGACAGUGGGUUAGGGUAGGACACAGACAGUGAGUUAGGGUAUGAAAUAGACAGACAGUGGGUUAGGGUAUGAAACAGACAGACAGUGGGUUAGGGUAGGAAAUAGACAGUGGGAUAGGGUAGGAAACAGACAGUGGGUUAGGGUAGGAAACAGACAGACAGUGGGUUAGGGUAUGAAACAGACAGACAGUGGGUUAGGGUAGGAAAUAGACAGUGGGUUAGGGUAGGACACAGACAGACUGUGGGUUAGGGUAGAAGACAGACAGUGGGUCAGGGUAUGAAACAGACAGACAGUGGGUUAGGUAAGGAAACAGACAGACAGUGGUUUGGGUAUGAAACAGACAGACAGUGGGUUAGGGUAGGAAACAGACAGACAGUGGGUUAGGGUAGGAAACAGACAGUGGGUUAGGGUAUGAAACAGACAGACAGUGGGAUAGGGUAGGACGCAGACAGUGUGUUAGGGUAUGAAACAGACUGACAGUGGGUUAGGUAAGGAAACAGACAGACAGUGGUUUGGGUAUGAAACAGACAGACAGUGCGUUAGGGUAGGAAACAGACAGACAGUGGGUUAGGGUAGGAAACAGACAGUGGGUUAGGGUAUGAAACAGACAGACAGUGGGAUAGGGUAGGACGCAGACAGUGUGUUAGGGUAUGCAAUAGACAGACAGUGGGUUAGGGUAUGAAACAGACAGACAGUGGGUUAGGGUAGGAAAUAGACAGUGGGAUAGGGUAGGAACAGACAGACAGUGGGUUAGGGUAUGAAACAGACAGACAGUGGGUUAGGGUAGGAAAUAGACAGUGGGUUAGGGUAAGACACAGACAGACAGUGGGUUAGGGUAGGAAACAGACAGUGGGUUAGGGUAGGAAACAGACAGACAGUGGGUUAGGGUAGGAAACAGACAGUGGGUUAGGGUAUGAAACAGACAGACAGUGGGUUAGGGUAGGACACAGACAGUGAGUUAGGGUAUGAAAUAGACAGACAGUGGGUUAGGGUAUGAAACAGACAGACAGUGGGUUAGGGUAGGAAAUAGACAGUGGGAUAGGGUAGGAAACAGACAGUGGGUUAGGGUAGGAAACAGACAGACAGUGGGUUAGGGUAUGAAACAGACAGACAGUGGGUUAGGGUAGGAAAUAGACAGUGGGUUAGGGUAGGACACAGACAGACUGUGGGUUAGGGUAGAAGACAGACAGUGGGUCAGGGUAUGAAACAGACAGACAGUGGGUUAGGUAAGGAAACAGACAGACAGUGGUUUGGGUAUGAAACAGACAGACAGUGGGUUAGGGUAGGAAACAAACAGACAGUGGGUUAGGGUAUGAAACAGACAGACAGUGGGAUAGGGUAGGACGCAGACAGUGUGUUAGGGUAUGAAACAGACUGACAGUGGGUUAGGUAAGGAAACAGACAGACAGUGGUUUGGGUAUGAAACAGACAGACAGUGCGUUAGGGUAGGAAACAGACAGACAGUGGGUUAGGGUAGGAAACAGACAGUGGUUUAGGGUAUGAAACAGACAGACAGUGGGAUAGGGUAGGACGCAGACAGUGUGUUAGGGUAUGCAAUAGACAGACAGUGGGUUAGGGUAUGAAACAGACAGACAGUGGGUUAGGGUAGGAAAUAGACAGUGGGAUAGGGUAGGAAAGAGACAGUGGGUUAGGGUAGGAAACAGACAGACAGUGGGUUAGGGUAUGAAACAGACAGACAGUGGGUUAGGGUAGGAAAUAGACAGUGGGUUAGGGUAAGACACAGACAGACUGUGGGUUAGGGUAGGAAACAGACAGUGGGUCAGGGUAUGAAACAGACAGACAGUGAGUUAGGGUAGGACAAACAGUGGGUUAGGGUAGGAAACAGACAGACAGUGGGUUAGGGUAGGAAACAGACAGACAGUGGGUCAGGGUAGGAAACAGACAGUGGGUUAGGGUAUGAAACAGACAGACAGUGAAUUAGGGUAUGAAACAGACAGACAUUUAGUUAGGGUAUGAAACAGACAGACAGUGAGUUAGGGUAGGAAACAGACAGACAGUGGGUUAGGGUAUGAUACAGACAGACAGCGGGUUAGGGUAUGAAACAGACAGACAGUGGGUUAGGGUAUGAAACAGACAGACAGUGAGUUAGGGUAGGAAACAGACAGACAGUGGGUUAGGGUAUGAUACAGACAGACAGUGAGUUAGGGUAUGAUACAGACAGACAGUGGGUUAGGGUAUGAAACAGACAGACAGUGAGUUAGGGUAGGACAGACAGUGGGUUAGGGUAGGAAACAGACAGACAGUGGGUUAGGGUAGGAAACAGACAGUGUGUUAGGGUAGGAAACAGACAGACAGUGGGUUAGGGUAUGAAACAGACAGACAGUGAGUUAGGGUAGGAAACAGACAGUGGGUUAGGGUAGGAAACAGACAGACAGUGGGUUAGGGUAGGAAACAGACAGACAGUGUGUUAGGGUAGGAAACAGACAGUGUGUUAGGGUAGGAGACAGACAGACAGUGGGUUAGGGUAUAAAACAGACAGACAGUGGGUUAGGGUAAGAAAUAGACAGACAGUGGUUUAGGGUAUGAAAUAGACAGACAGUGGGUUAGGGUAGGAAACAGACAGUGGGUUAGGGUAGGAAACAGACAGACAGUGGGUUAGGGUAGGAAACAGACAGUGGGUUAGGGUAUGAAACAGACAGACAGUGGGUUAGGGUAGGACACAGACAGUGAGUUAGGGUAUGAAAUAGACAGACAGUGGGUUAGGGUAUGAAACAGACAGACAGUGGGUUAGGGUAGGAAAUAGACAGUGGGAUAGGGUAGGAAACAGACAGUGGGUUAGGGUAGGAAACAGACAGACAGUGGGUUAGGGUAUGAAACAGACAGACAGUGGGUUAGGGUAGGAAAUAGACAGUGGGUUAGGGUAGGACACAGACAGACUGUGGGUUAGGGUAGAAGACAGACAGUGGGUCAGGGUAUGAAACAGACAGACAUUGGGUUAGGUAAGGAAACAGACAGACAGUGGUUUGGGUAUGAAACAGACAGACAGUGGGUUAGGGUAGGAAACAGACAGACAGUGGGUUAGGGUAGGAAACAGACAGUGGGUUAGGGUAUGAAACAGACAGACAGUGGGAUAGGGUAGGACGCAGACAGUGUGUUAGGGUAUGAAACAGACUGACAGUGGGUUAGGUAAGGAAACAGACAGACAGUGGUUUGGGUAUGAAACAGACAGACAGUGUGUUAGGGUAGGAAACAGACAGACAGUGGGUUAGGGUAGGAAACAGACAGUGGGUUAGGGUAUGAAACAGACAGACAGUGGGAUAGGGUAGGACGCAGACAGUGUGUUAGGGUAUGCAAUAGACAGACAGUGGGUUAGGGUAUGAAACAGACAGACAGUGGGUUAGGGUAGGAAAUAGACAGUGGGAUAGGGUAGGAAAGAGACAGUGGGUUAGGGUAGGAAACAGACAGACAGUGGGUUAGGGUAUGAAACAGACAGACAGUGGGUUAGGGUAGGAAAUAGACAGUGGGUUAGGGUAAGACACAGACAGACAGUGGGUUAGGGUAGGAAACAGACAGUGUGUUAGGGUAGGAAACAGACAGACAGUGGGUUAGGGUAGGAAACAGACAGUGGGUUAGGGUAUGAAACAGACAGACAGUGGGUUAGGGUAGGAAAUAGACAGUGGGAUAGGGUAGGAAACAGACAGUGGGUUAGGGUAGGAAACAGACAGACAGUGGGUUAGGGUAUGAAACAGACAGACAGUGGGUUAGGGUAGGAAAUAGACAGUGGGUUAGGGUAGGACACAGACAGACUGUGGGUUAGGGUAGAAGACAGACAGUGGGUCAGGGUAUGAAACAGACAGACAGUGGGUUAGGUAAGGAAACAGACAGACAGUGGUUUGGGUAUGAAACAGACAGACAGUGGGUUAGGGUAGGAAACAGACAGACAGUGGGUUAGGGUAGGAAACAGACAGUGGGUUAGGGUAUGAAACAGACAGACAGUGGGAUAGGGUAGGACGCAGACAGUGUGUUAGGGUAUGCAAUAGACAGACAGUGGGUUAGGGUAUGAAACAGACAGACAGUGGGUUAGGGUAGGAAAUAGACAGUGGGAUAGGGUAGGAAAGAGACAGUGUGUUAGGGUAGGAAACAGACAGACAGUGGGUUAGGGUAUGAAACAGACAGACAGUGGGUUAGGGUAGGAAAUAGACAGUGGGUUAGGGUAAGACACAGACAGACAGUGGGUUAGGGUAGGAAACAGACAGUGGGUUAGGGUAGGAAACAGACAGACAGUGGGUUAGGGUAGGAAACAGACAGUGGGUUAGGGUAUGAAACAGACAGACAGUGGGUUAGGGUAGGACACAGACAGUGGGUUAGGGUAUGAAACAGACAGACAGUGGGUUAGGGUAGGAAACAGACAGACAGUGGGUUAGGGUAGGAAACAGACAGACAGUGGGUUAGGGUAGGAAACAGACAGUGGGUUAGGGUAGGAAACAGACAGACAGUGGGUUAGGGUAGGAAACAGACAGACAGUGGGUUAGGGUAGGAAACAGACAGACAGUGGGUUAGGGUAGAAGACAGACAGUGGGUUAGGGUAUGAAACAGACAGACAGUGGGUUAGGGUAUGAAACAGACAGACAGUGGGUUAGGGUAUGAAACAGACAGACAGUGGGUUAGGGUAGGAAACAGACAGACAGUGGGUUAGGGUAGGAAACAGACAGACAGUGGGUUAGGGUAUGAAACAGACAGACAGUGGGUUAGGGUAGGAAACAGACAGUGGGUUAGGGUAGGAAACAGACAGUGGGUUAGGGUAGGAAACAGACAGACAGUGGGUUAGGGUAUGAAACAGACAGACAGUGGGUUAGGGUAGGAAACAGACAGUGGGUUAGGGUAGGAAACAGACAGACAGUGGGUUAGGGUAGGAAACAGACAGACAGUGGGUUAGGGUAGGAAACAGACAGACAGUGGGUUAGGGUAGGAAACAGACAGACAGUGGGUUAGGGUAGGAAACAGACAGUGGGUUAGGGUAUGAAACAGACAGACAGUGGGUUAGGGUAGGAAACAGACAGACAGUGGGUUAGGGUAUGAAACAGACAGACAGUGGGUUAGGGUAGGAAACAGACAGACAGUGGGUUAGGGUAUGAAACAGACAGACAGUGGGUUAGGGUAUGAAACAGACAGACAGUGGGUUAGGGUAUGAAACAGACAGACAGUGGGUUAGGGUAUGAAACAGACAGACAGUGGGUUAGGGUAGGAAACAGACAGACAGUGGGUUAGGGUAUGAAACAGACAGACAGUGGGUUAGGGUAUGAAACAGACAGACAGUGGGUUAGGGUAGGAAACAGACAGUGGGUUAGGGUAGGAAACAGACAGACAGUGGGUUAGGGUAUGAAACAGACAGACAGUGGGUUAGGGUAUGAAACAGACAGACAGUGGGUUAGGGUAGGAAACAGACAGUGGGUUAGGGUAGGAAACAGACAGACAGUGGGUUAGGGUAGGAAACAGACAGACAGUGGGUUAGGGUAGGAAACAGACAGUGGGUUAGGGUAGGAAACAGACAGACAGUGGGUUAGGGUAGGAAACAGACAGACAGUGGGUUAGGGUAGGAAAUAGACAGACAGUGGGUUAGGGUAGGAAGACAGACAGUGGGUUAGGGUAGGAAACAGACAGACAGUGGGUUAGGGUAGGAAAGACAGACAGUGGGUUAGGGUAUGAAACAGACAGACAGUGGGUUAGGGUAGGAAACAGACAGUGGGUUAGGGUAUGAAAUAGACAGACAGUGGGUUAGGGUAUGAAACAGACAGACAGUGGGUUAGGGUAGGAAACAGACAGUGGGAUAGGGUAGGAAACAGACAGUGGGUUAGGGUAGGAAACAGACAGACAGUGGGUUAGGGUAUGAAACAGACAGACAGUGGGUUAGGGUAGGAAAUAGACAGUGGGUUAGGGUAGGACACAGACAGACUGUGGGUUAGGGUAGAAGACAGACAGUGGGUCAGGGUAUGAAACAGACAGACAGUGGGUUAGGUAAGGAAACAGACAGACAGUGGUUUGGGUAUGAAACAGACAGACAGUGUGUUAGGGUAGGAAACAGACAGACAGUGGGUUAGGGUAGGAAACAGACAGUGGGUUAGGGUAUGAAACAGACAGACAGUGGGAUAGGGUAGGACGCAGACAGUGUGUUAGGGUAUGCAACAGACAGACAGUGGGUUAGGGUAUGAAACAGACAGACAGUGGGUUAGGGUAGGAAAUAGACAGUGGGAUAGGGUAGGAAAGAGACAGUGGGUUAGGGUAGGAAACAGACAGACAGUGGGUUAGGGUAUGAAACAGACAGACAGUGGGUUAGGGUAGGAAAUAGACAGUGGGUUAGGGUAAGACACAGACAGACAGUGGGUUAGGGUAGGAAACAGACAGUGUGUUAGGGUAGGAAACAGACAGACAGUGGGUUAGGG